UUUUUUUUUUUUUUGUUGUUGGGAGUAAUUUUCUGAUGCCUAACACGAUAGUGUAUGUUGUAGAGAACAUGAGUUUCCAAUAUUUUUGCCUUUAAUUGACUAUAUAAUGUGCUAUUUAUUAAAAUAGUUUGGCCAUAAUAAAAUCAAAGUUAAUACCUUCUUCUUAAUGACUAUUUAAAAGAGAAAUAUAAUUUUUUUUUUUUUGCAGCAGAAAGAGGAAUUAUUUUAAAUUUACUUACAACUUUUAACUUUUACCAUAAAAUUACUUCAUAAGCAAAUCUAUUUGUUUAUCAUACAAAAAUUGAAACACCAGUAAGUAAUGGAGAAAAUAAUUAAUUACAAAAACCAAAAUCUGGUUUGCGAACCAAGAUUUAUCUAUAUUCUAUUACAACACCAUGACUUGGGGAUGGGCUUUCAGAUGACUAAAGUCUUAAAAAAUUAACUGAAAAAAAAAGUUCUACACUAAAUAGUAUCAUAGAAAUGCAAGUUAAAAUUAUAAUAUUUAUAGAACCAUCUCAUUCAUUGAAAAAAGUUGUAUUGAUUGGAUAAUGUUGAACACAUUUUCAAAACAAUUUUAACAUAAAAAGAAAAAAAAAAUUCAACAACCAAAAGAAGCAACUCACAAUAAGUUGCUAAAGUGAAAACAAAAAAUGUUCCAGAAUAAGAAAAAUACAAACCAUAUAACUUAAAGUGGAAUGAGAAUGGUAAUGAUUAAUCUAUUAUCUUUUUUUUAAUAUAUAAGUGCCAAUUAACAUUUGACUGCUAUAUAAACUUAUCUUCUUGUUCUUCAGGUACAAAGGAUACUAUGAAUAUGCCAAAUCAAAAGGUAUAAAAGUUGAUGAGCCAGUCGGGCUUGAUAUUCUGGUCGACGGAACUGUUCCCACAGGAUCUGGGUUAUCAAGCUCUGCAGCAUUUGUUUGCUCUUCCACUAUUGCUAUUAUGGCUGCUUUUGAUGUGAACUUUCCAAAGAACCUCCAUCAGAAGGAUUAAGAUGAGCAACACGAUCAACUAAGAUUCUUUCUGCUUCUACUGUAUAUGAAAGAGGUCCAACAAAAAAAAAGUGUAUCGAGUGGUUUGUAUUGAUUGAAGAGUACACAAGUAGCUAACUUUAUCGGAGAAAGGUAUAAUCACUAAAACUUUAAAUUCUUAAUUUAGUGGAGUUUGAAUAUCUUAGAUAUUCAUCCGUAGUGAAGUAGGUUCUGUGAAUAUACAUGUACUGCGGUCGGAUGGGUGGAUAGUUUUAAUAUUGUUUUGUAUUAUUUUGUGUGUUUGUUUUUUGUUUUUUGCAUGUUUAAAAUUUUUGGGAACGUCCAAUUACAGUUGUUAUGCUGUCGAAAUUUCGGUCGAAUUAGGAUAAAUUUCAUUAAAAAUACAUAAAUUUUAGAUAAAAAAUGUAAGAACUUAGUGAAAAUUUAUAUGUGUGGUGAUUAAUAAAUACACAUUCAAACAAAUAAUUUAAUAAAGUUUUUUUUUUCUUUUUUAGAAGUUGCAAAAUGGAUAGAAAUUGGAUGAGUGCGAAUAGAUUAUCAGCAGAGUAUAAGGAAGGUGUUGACUUUUUUUGGAUUUUUGUCAUAAGCACGCAAAAAAUCCAAAGUUGAUUCUUUGUCCUUGUCUUAAAUGUGGUAACAUGGAGCGUAUGAAUACUAGUAAAAUAAAGGAGCAUUUAUUUAGGAACGGAAUAGACAAGAGUUAUAAGGUUUGGUGUUACCACGGGGAAAAUAUUAGAGUUCAUGGCGAGGAAACAUCUAAGUCUAAGAAGGUUAAGAAUGUUAACUUGGAUUAUCAGGAUGAUCACAUUCCAGAAAUGAUAGGAGAUGCACAAUUUCAAUCAAAUGUCGAUCCAUUGGAAUUUCAAAAUUUUGUAGAGGAUGCUGAGAAACCUAUUUACCCUAAUUGUAAUAGGUUUACUAAAUUGUCUACGCUUGUUAGAUUAUACAAUAUAAAAGCGAAACAUGGGUGGAGUGAUAAAAGUUUUACGGAUUUACUAGCUUUUCUAGUAGAGUUAUUACCUGAAGGUAAUGAGAUGCCUUUGUCUUUCUACGAGGCAAAGAAGACACUGUCUUCCUUAGGUAUGCAAUAUGAAAAGAUACAUGCAUGUCCUAAUGAUUGCAUUCUAUAUCGUAAGAGUUUUGUGGAUGCAAUAUCGUGUCCCACGUGCGGUGAGUCUAGGUGGCAAAAGAAAAAGAAUUCUGAUGAGGUAAAGAUUGGUGUCCCUGCAAAGGUAUUAUGGUACUUACCCCCAAUACCUCGUUUGGUUCGAUUCUUUCGAAAUGUCAAUCAUGCAAAAAAUUUGACCUGGCAUGCCACCGAUAGAAAACUAGAUGGUAAGA